UACAGAGGGUGCAAGCGUUGUUCGGAAUUAUUGGGCGUAAAGCGCGUGUAGGCGGCUUUGCAAGUCGGGUGUGAAAGCCCCUCAGCUCAACUGAGGAAGUGCGCCCCGAAAACUGCAGAGCUUGAGUGCCGGAGAGGGGUGGCGGAAUUCCCCCAAGUAGAGGUGAAAAUUCGUAGAUAUGGGGGAGGAACACCGGUGGGCGAAAGG
rnacentral:rRNA from 1 species